rnacentral:snoRNA from 1 species
GAGAAAUGAGGAUAAACUCAGUGUCUUACUGUUUAUAGUGAAGACAUCAGAUCCAACUCUGAUCUCAUUCUGAAA